GUGUCAGCAGCCGCGGUAAUACGUAGGGGGCUAGCGUUGUCCGGAUUUAUUGGGCGUAAAGAGCGCGUAGGCGGCUAGGUAAGUCCGACGUGAAAUCUGGAGGCUCAACCUCCAGCGGUCGUUGGAAACUACUUGGCUAGAGUCCGGAAGAGGAGAGUGGAAUUCCUGGUGUAGCGGUGAAAUGCGCAGAUAUCAGGAAGAACACCGAUGGCGAAAGCAGCUCUCUGGGACGGUACUGACGCUGAGGCGCGAAAGCGUGGGGAGCGAACAGGAUUAGAUACCCGUGUAGUCC
rnacentral:rRNA from 1 species